GAACCGCCUAGGGUAAAAUCGGUAAUUGGGGCUAAGUCGUAACAAGGUAGCCGUAUCGGAAGGUGCGGCUGGAAUACCUCCUUUUUAGAGCUCAUU
rnacentral:rRNA from 1 species